UUAGGAAUUUUGGGCAAUGGGCGAAAGCCUGACCCAGCAACGCCGCGUGGGUGACGAAGGCCUUCGGGUUGUAAAGCCCUUUUCUGGGGGAAGAUGAUGACGGUACCCCAGGAAGAAGCACCGGCUAACUACGUGCCAGCAGCCGCGGUAAUACGUAGGGUGCAAGCGUUGCCCGGAUUUAUUGGGCGUAAAGGGCGCGUAGGCGGCUCGGCACGUCCGUUGUGAAAUCGCCCGGCUCAACUGGGCGGGGUCAGCGGAUACGGUCGAGCUUGAGCAAGCUAGGGGGCAAUGGAAUUCCCGGUGUAGUGGUGGAAUGCGUAGAUAUCGGGAGGAACACCAGUGGCGAAGGCGGUUGCCUGGGGCUUUGCUGACGCUGAUGCGCGAAAGCGUGGGGAGCGAUCCGGAUUAGAUACCCGGGUAGUCCACGCCGUAAACGAUGCGGACUAGGUGUCGGGGGUAUCGACCCCCUCGGCGCCGCAGCUAACGCAUUAAGUCCGCCGCCUGGGACUACGGCCGCAAGGCUAAAAC
rnacentral:rRNA from 1 species